UACGUAGGAUCCAAGCGUUAUCCGGAUUUAUUGGGUUUAAAGGGUGCGUAGGCGGAUUGAUAAGUUAGAGGUGAAAUGUCCGAGCUUAACUCGGGAACUGCCUCUAAUACUGUUGAUCUAGAGAGUAGAUGCGGUAGGCGGAAUGUAUGGUGUAGCGGUGAAAUGCUUAGAGAUCAUACAGAACACCGAUUGCGAAGGCAGCUUACCAAUCUAUAUCUGACGUUGAGGCUCGAAAGCGUGGGGAGCAAACAGG
rnacentral:rRNA from 1 species